rnacentral:rRNA from 1 species
GUGCCAGCCGCCGCGGUAAUACAGAGGGGGCCAGCGUUAUUCGGAAUUAUUGGGCGUAAAGGGCGCGUAGGCGGCCAUGCGUGUCUUCCGUGAAAUCCCUCGGCUCAACCGAGGACGUGCGGAAGAAACUGCAAGGCUCGAGUCCGGAAGAGGGGGGCGGAAUUCCCAGUGUAGCGGUGAAAUGCGUAGAUAUUGGGAGGAACACCAGUGGCGAAGGCGGUCCCCUGGGCCGGAACUGACGCUGAGGCGCGAAAGCGUGGGUAGCAAACGGGAUUAGAUACCCGCGUAGUCC